rnacentral:rRNA from 1 species
UACAGAGGGUGCAAGCGUUAAUCAGAAUUACUGGGCGUAAAGGGUGCGUAGGUGGCUUAAGUAAGUCAGGUGUGAAAUCCCCGAGCUUAACUCGGGAGUGUCGCUUGAUACUACUUAGCUAGAGUAUUGUAGAGGAUAGUGGAAUUUCCAGUGUAGCGGUGAAAUGCGUAGAUAUUGGAAGGAACACCAGUGGCGAAAGCGACUAUCUGGAUAAAUACUGACACUGAGGCACGACAGCGUGGGGAGCAAACAGG